UACAGAGGUCCCAAGCGUUGUUCGGAUUCACUGGGCGUAAAGGGUGCGUAGGUGGUUAGGUAAGUCCGAUGUGAAAUCUCCAGGCUCAACCUGGAAAUGGCAUUGGAUACUAUUUAGCUUGAGGAGUGGAGGGGGGGACUGGAAUUCUCGGUGUAGCAGUGAAAUGCGUAGAUAUCGAGAGGAACACCAGUGGCGAAGGCGAGUCCCUGGACACUUCCUGACACUGAGGCACGAAAAGCUAGGGGGAGCAAACAGG
rnacentral:rRNA from 1 species